rnacentral:rRNA from 1 species
UGGGGAAUAUUGGACAAUGGGCGCAAGCCUGAUCCAGCCAUGCCGCGUGAGUGAUGAAGGCCCUAGGGUUGUAAAGCUCUUUCACCGGUGAAGAUAAUGACGGUAACCGGAGAAGAAGCCCCGGCUAACUUCGCGCCAGCAGCCGCGGUAAUACGAAGGGGGCUAGCGUUGUUCGGAUUUACUGGGCGUAAAGCGCACGUAGGCGGACUAUUAAGUCAGGGGUGAAAUCCCGGGGCUCAACCCCGGAACUGCCUUUGAUACUGGUAGUCUUGAGUUCGAGAGAGGUGAGUGGAAUUCCGAGUGUAGAGGUGAAAUUCGUAGAUAUUCGGAGGAACGCCAGUGGCGAAGGCGGCUCACUGGCUCGAUACUGACGCUGAGGUGCGAAAGCGUGGGGAGCAAACAGG